UACAUACUCCCUCCGUCCCAUAUUAAGUGACUUUCUAUUACAUGUAUCUAGACGCUUUUUAGGCAUAGAUACAUCCAUAUUUGGACAAAUUUGAGUCACUUAAUAUGGGACGGAGGGAGUACCAU
rnacentral:pre_miRNA from 1 species